GCUAACUGAAAAUCUAUGAGAAUUCAAAGAGCAAUCUGAGAUCACAUUAGAUGUGUAGUAAGUUGAUGACCAUCAUACCAAAUUUAUAUGGAUUCAUAGUCUUGGAAGAAAGGAAGGUAGCCAUUUUUGCUCAGCUAUCCUAAGCUAGUGGCUGGUACUCCUCAGUGCAUGGGGUGGAGAAGUUUCACAAAAGAGCCUUCUAAAUUUGAGGGAAGAAACAAAGAGUAACAUUUGUGAGGAAAAAAUUCAGAAAGCAAUUUCAAGGCUCCUUUUAGGCUAUUAUGAAUAAUCCUGCUAUUGAACAUUCCUGUUCAGCCUUUGUGAAUGUUUUCAUUUCUCUUGACUACCCAAUUCCUAGGAUUGGAUUCGCUGAG